AUUGAACGCUGGCGGCAGGCCUAACACAUGCAAGUCGAGCGAGCGGCGGACGGGUGAGUAAUGUCUGGGAAACUGCCUGAUGGAGGGGGAUAACUACUGGAAACGGUAGCUAAUACCGCAUACCAUCAGAUGUGCCCAGAUGGGAUUAGCUAGUAGGUGUGGUAACGGCCCACCUGGGCGACGAUCCCUAGCUGGUCUGAGAGGAUGACCAGCCAUGCUGGAACUGAGACACGGUCCAGACGCCUACUGGAGGCAGCAGGGGGGAAUAUUGAACAAUGGGCGCAAGCCGGAUGCAGCCAUGCCGGGUGUAUGAAGAAGGCCUUCGGGUUGUAAAGUACUUUCAGCGGGGAGGCGUUACCCGCAGAAGAAGCACCGGCUAACUCCGUGCCAGCCGCCGCGGUAAUA
rnacentral:rRNA from 1 species